ACAGCCACUGAAGUUUGAACUUGCUGUCGCUAACAGGUCGCUAACAUUUUUUUAACUGGUGGGACUUUGUGGUUUAAUCAUUUGUAGUUUAAACAGGCUGAAGAGACAGAAGGAGGAAGAUUUUUGGAGUGUAAAAUCGGAGUAAAGAGAAAGUGAAAGCAAAGUCACAUCAGCGUUCAUUUUGAAAGAGAACGAGAGAGAAACACCGAGCACCUAAAGUUUUGCCUUCGAUCAGUAGAAGACCUCACAAAGGCAUCGUAUUUCAUCGUGCUGUAAGUCGUUAUUAAGGCUAAAGGCCAGUGACUCGGGUAUCUGCCAAUUCUGGGAAUAUGAGUGUCUCUCAGACGCAGAUACAGUGUCCCCGAUGCCAUCAGCAGGGGGUUAAGACGGUCGGGGGCCAGCGUACGCCAUGCGUCUCCUGCUCCAAGGAGCUGAAGCGCCUUUACCACUACUGCUGCGCCUGCAAGCGGGAGUGGCCCCGGGGGGUGACCGGGGAAAAGUCCUGCACUCUCCCCGGGUGUGAGACGCGCGCCGCACUCCUCUCUCCACAGACCAUCACCGUCAUUCAGAGCUCCGUUUAUGGUUGCCCCUUCUUCCGGGCCUGCCCCCAGUGCAAGGCCCUCCUGACCCAUACGGGACGGGGUUGCCCCAAUAUCGUGUGCCCGCACUGCCUAACGCAGUUCUGCUUCCGCUGCCUAAAGAGAGGAGUCUGUCCCUUUUUACGACCCUCUCCCUGCACCAUAGUAGAUAACAGCGCAUCACUCAGGGCACUGGGGCUGUGAGGUGUGUGGGUAGCAAUGAGGGUAGUGGUGGAAGAGCAUGUUGCUGGUUCAAUUCCAAGCCA